CAGCCGCCGCGGUAAUACCGGCGGCCCGAGUGGCGGCCACUAUUAUUGGGCUUAAAGCGUCCGUAGCCGGGUUGGUUAGUCUCCCGGGAAAUCUGGCCGCUUAACGGUCAGAAUUCCGGGAGAUACUGCCAGCCUAGGGACCGGGAGAGGCCGAGGGGAUUCCCGGAGUAGGGGUGAAAUCCUAUAAUCCCGGGAGGACCACCUGUGGCGAAGGCGCUCGGUUGGAACGGGUCCGACGGUGAGGGACGAAGGCCAGGGGAGCAAACCGGAUUAGAUACCCGGGUAGUCCUGGCUGUAAACGAUGCGGACUUUGUGUCGGACAAGCUAUGAGCUUGUCCGGUGCCGGAGGGAAACCGUUAAGUCCGCCGCCUGGGGAGUACGGCCGCAAGGCUGAAACUUAAAGGAAUUGGCGGG
rnacentral:rRNA from 1 species